UCUCCAGCUGUUUUUGGACUACAAUUCCUAUCAUCCCUAGCUGGCAGGACCAGUGAGCUAGGGAUGAUGGGAGUUGUAGUCCAAAAACAACCGGAGA